rnacentral:rRNA from 14 species
CCGCCUGGGGAGUAUGGUCGCAAGGCUGAAACUCAAAGAAAUUGACGGGGGCUCACACAAGCGGUGGAGGAUGUGGCUUAAUUCGAGGCUACGCGAAGAACCUUAUCCUAGCCUUGACAUGCACGGAUUAACCCUGUGAAAGCAGGGCCACGCCUUCGGGUGGAACGUGCACAGGUGCUGCAUGGCUGUCGUCAGCUCGUGUUGUGAAAUGUCGAGUUAAGUCUCGUAACGAGCGCAACCCAUGUCUCUUGUUGCUCACUGAGUGCUUAAGAGAGACUGCCGACCAACAUCGGAGGAAGGUGUGGAUGAUGUCAAGUCAGCAUGCCCCUUACAUCCUGGGCUACACACGUACUACAA